CGGGUGAGUAAUGUAGUGGGAUCUGCCUGAUGGCGGGGGAUAACUACUGGAAACGGUAGCUAAUACCGCAUAAUGUCUGCGGACCAAAGCGGGGGACCUCCGGGCCUCGCGCCAUCAGAUGAACCCAUAUGGGAUUAGCUUGUAGGUAAGGUAACGGCUUACCUAGGCGACGAUCCCUAGCUGGUCUGAGAGGAUGAUCAGCCACACUGGGACUGAGACACGGCCCAG
rnacentral:rRNA from 1 species